ACAAAAACGUAGAACAAAACCUAACUUCCCAUCUUCUCUUCCACUUUAUUCCUCUGUGAAUCUCCCUAAACCCUAUUCAGCCGAAAAUCCAUAACCCUAACUCUCAAUCUUCUCUUACACUUUCUUCCUCUGUGAAUCUCCUUUCGCAUUCUUGAGAUUAAUGUCGUUUGUUAACUAAUUUUAUGAGUUUCACUAGGGUGUUGGAGGGUAAAAUUCCAUGCUUUUGAGCAGGAAGAUGGAAGAUUAAUUUGGGUGUUGAUUCCCCUGCUGUAGGUGAUGUAAUCAAGUGUGGUUUGGGGGUUUUAUGGAUUAAAUUGCAGUGAGUCUCUUGUUUUCUGACCUAACAACUUUUGAAUUUUAAUGAACACUCUUGAAUGUUUUGUUGCUGCCACUUAAGUUUAUAAGCAUGGAUUUCUUGGAUAAACAUGCUCAAUUGCUAUCAAAACAUUGUUUAUAAUUCUGCAGCUAAAGGAGGAAGAAGAAGUUGAAGAAUGGCAAGAGGAAACAGACAGUAGUCUGGACCAAAAAAUGUUAUCCGGACAAUAGUUUGGAUCAUAAAUGUCAGAAUUUGUGAUUGUUUGGAGCAGCAAUAUGCAAAAGGCAUUACUACUACGGAUGAUAUGCAGGAACUUUAAGAGGCUCUUAGAUAAAUGUUUUGAAGAUAUUAGUGUCUAACAAUAUAUACACAUUGCCAACUUGCCUUGAGUUUUCAGUGUACUUGCAACAAUGAGAAAUGUCGAUUCAAGCAGCAUUCCAAACUGAUAAAAUCCAUAGUGCCAAGAUCUUUCAUAUCUUCCAAUUAUGUUAACACCUGGGUGUAGUUUACAUGUUGUUUUAAAGCACUAAUUAUUAAUUUCAUCAUAUAAGUUUUCAGUUUUCAUCAUCUUUCGUUGUUAAUCUGCACUGACAUUUGCAAUGCAAGUUGGUUAUCAACAAAAUGUAAAGCAUAUUCGAGGCAGACAUCAAAGCAUUCUAUAGCAUCCGGAUGGAAUGCACUAAGCGAAUGGUCAAGUAUCACAAAUUGUACAUCCAAUAUGAGGAAUGAGUGCAUUGAGAAAAUGAUGGCACAACAAGCUUAUCCAGUUCCUUAAAGAGAAGAUUGAGCUUUGAAUUGGAAAGCCUAUCAGUUUUCGAGCGUUACGAAAAGGGGAACUACAAUUUUUUCGUAACGGCCCACUAGCCGUUAUGAUUUUUCUUUUGUAACGUCCCUUGUAACAGGUUAGAGCCGUUACUACAUGGCACUGUCGUAACAUGCGCCAUCCGUUACCAAUUUUAUUUAGUAACAGGACGUUGUAACAAGCUGAAGCCGUUACGAUUUUUUUUGUAACUGUAAAAAAAUUACUGCCGGUCAACCUUGACCUGGUCAGAAUCAGUCGGCAAUGACUAAUUUUGACCAGGUCAAAGUUGACCGACAGCUCAUU